GAUGAAGAACGUAGCGAAAUGCGAUACUUGGUGUGAAUUGCAGAAUCCCGUGAACCAUCGAGUCUUUGAACGCAAGUUGCGCCCGAAGCCACUAGGCCGAGGGCACGCCUGCCUGGGCGUCACACGCCGUUGCCCCCCCAUCUACUCCUUCGGGAUUGCGGGGGGGCGGAUGAUGGCCUCCCGUGCGCCUAGCCGCGCGGUUGGCAUAAAUACCAAGUCCUCGGCGACGCACGCCACGACAAUCGGUGGUUGCGAAACCUCGGUUGCCCGUCGUGUGCGUUCGUCGCGCAUCGAGGGCUCGAAAAAAUGCUCGGCUCCGGCUGGGCUUUCAACGCGACCCCAGGUCAGGCGGGGUUACCCGCUGAAUUUAAGCAUAUCACUAAGCGGAGGA
rnacentral:misc_RNA from 1 species